CUAUUAUAAGAAGGGUAACUAAGUUUACCACGUUAGACCAUAUUAGGUAGGGCUCCUCAGCAAAACCCACUCAAGUGUCCGCAAACACGGCUCGCAGGACGGAGAAUAAUGCACAUUAUAUAGAUAAGUGGGGGUUUUAGUUCAGCUGACGUACUGGAAGGACCCUUGUUACAAGUGACUGGCGUUAUGCUCUGGUUCCCUUAAAUCUCAUACUCAUUUUCCAAUACAGAUUGAUGGAUUGAGCAAUCGAUGAACAAAUUGAACAACAUAAGACGUUUCUCUUUAGUGCCAUUGAGCAAGUCUUGCCAUGUUUCGCCUAUGUCGAUCAAGUUACAUGGGUCGGUAGAACAACAAAUAUCGAGCUCAAACAUUUUCUCCCAAUGAAGAAACGACCCAUGACUCUAAACCAACGUCGACAGAAUUUCCAGGAGUCGUCCAGAAGGGUGUCCAGAUGCUACCGCCUGACCAUCACCAUUCAUGUACUCCUUUUGCUGGCCAUCCUCGGGACACUUGGGAUGGCAUAUUUAGUGGAGAACAAGGAGAAACUGCCCGCGGUCCAGAAUGGAUUAAGUGGGAUGCGUUCAGUGCUUGACAGUUAUGCACAGGAGCUCGGUUUGUGGAAAUGAGUAAAUGGAAAAUUGUCGCAUCGAAACUUGAAUGGGACCAUCCAAACAGCUGUGCACAGAACAUUUUCAGACUCCAGGGGAUGGGGAUCUAAUUGGGGGAUGGAGAACAAAAACUUUUCUUCCCGUUCAGACAGAUGGGAUUUAAUCCUCGCCCAUGCGUACAUGAGAAGUUCACUUCAUGACAUAACGGUUGACAAGAAAGAGACGGAUAACCUAUCCCAGUAUCAGGGUAAAUUUCUUUCCUUAAAACGAGUGGCAGCGUUGGGACAGGAAUCUUCAUAUACACUCAUGGUAUGUGCUUGUCUACCACCAUAAAGCAGGGGUGCUUUAAGUAAACCAACGAGAACCAGCGCAAACAAACGAGGCACUUCUUAGUAGACCAAUGCCAGAGCUUGGAAGACCAAAGUCAAAUGAUAGGAAGGCGUUAAAUCGUAAGCAAGCAGAUACUGCCAGACCAUAGAACCAGGGUAAUUCGGCACAGCAUGAUAGAGUCAUUAGAAAGGUCCAGACGAUAGGUAUAACAACAGUUGGCAGUUUGUCACCAGUAAUAAAAAUAUAUUAAUUUUGCUUUCCAGCCACACUUUUUGGCAGGACCUAUGAAUUUGUUUGAUGGACUCUAGGUAUUACAUAAGACGUGCGGUGGAUAAACCCGUAAUAGAUCAAUUACAGUAAAUAGUAAAACCAGUGUUAGAUUAUUUGAAUAUGUUCCCUUACCUUCCCGUGUAUUACAAA